UACGUAGGGGCAAGCGUUGUCCGGAAUUAUUGGGCGUAAAGCGCGCGCAGGCGGUCUCUUAAGUCUGAUGUGAAACCUCGCAGCUUAACUGUGAGCGGUCAUUGGAAACUGAGGGACUUGAGGACAGGUGAGGAGAGUGGAAUUCCACGUGUAGCGGUGAAAUGCGUAGAGAUGUGGAGGAACACCAGUGGCGAAGGCGACUCUCUAGUCUGUAUCUGACGCUGAGGUGCAAAAGCGUGGGUAGCAAACAGGA
rnacentral:rRNA from 1 species